UUCGUCGCUGCUGCAUUGUAAGUUUACGACCAAGAACGAUCUCCGAGUGACUGACACAGCUCCCAAGAUCUCACGUUUAUCCUCUCAUUUUAUGCUCUCAUAUAGACUAUGUUUUAAAAAUAAUGAGGCAUACCACAAAACCCUAAAUAAAAAUCUCCUACAAUGAAAAUAAAAACGUUAGAUAGCAAAGCCAAUUUGUAACACAUUCUUAGUUGACCUUCAACUGUUGUAACUUCAGUUAUGCAUUUGGUGAUUUCAUAUUCACAAUAUACAUAUGUACAGAAGCCAAGAAUUCCUUGAGAAACUGUUUAUAGUUUACUUAAUUCACAGUUAAAUUAGAGCUUUUUAAAAACCUAUGUAGUUUAUUCUUUCUAAAUGCUGUGUGUCCUCCACCACAUAGCAAACUAACAUUGUAAUCUGGGCCCAGUUAUUUUGCUUUUAUGCAUUGAACUCUUAACCCUUUGAAUUCUUAUGUCAAGGCAAAUUUGCCAUCUUUGAUUUCCUGUUCCAAUCCCUUACAUUGCAUUGCAUUGCAGUGCAUAGAAACAUGUUCCAUGAUUCAAGAAACAGCAGAUCCAUCUCAACAAAAUAUUAGAACAGGAAUUUAAAGAUGACAAACCUGACUCAACAUAGGAGUUCAAAAGGUUAAAAAUGAAGAAAUGUACCACAUGAAAAAGAAAACCAAUAACAGGGAUGAGUGAAUAUUCCGUAAUUAUAUUGAUAUUGAAAAAUUAAGAACAUUAAUCUUUGAUAUCAAUAAAUUAUACUAAUGAAAGAAAACUUAAUGAAAAUUUUACAAAUUUGUUGAAUAUUUGAGUGGCUCUUGAUUGUUUAUUUAGUUUAUAUGAAAUAAAUGUACAACAUACCUUAAUUAUAUGUACCACUAAAGAAAUUAUAGAAUACAUCUGUUUCAAUUCUAAAAUGUUAUGCAACAUAUCCAUUCAGUCAUAUAGAUCUGGAAUAGGGUACAUAAGUCUUGAGUUAAGGAUGUGCUAAAAUAUAACUUGUUCUCAAAUAUAAUAUUAAAUUAAAAACAAAAUGGCCUAAAACACAAUAUGACUUUGAUUAUAAGACAUUCUUUAGUCUAAUGAAACUUUAGAUGUAAAUAUAUGAAAUAAAAAUAUAUGACAACCCUGAUUAUAGAACAACUUUUAUUUUAAGACACCCUCGAAUAACAGGUGACCUCGAUUGCAUGAUGACCUUAAACAUAUAUCUAUAUUAAAUAUAAGACAAAUAAUUUUAAAUAACUUAAAAUUUAAUAAAAAUUUUGCAGUGGCCAAGUUCCCGAGAGCAACAAUGUUUAGUUUUCAUUUCAGUAAAGUAAAUAUUAAUUUAUAAUUUCCUAUAAAUAUUAACGAAGUGCAAAUUUCACCCAAGCUAGGUUAAGCAUUAGGUAACUAAGCUUUGCUUAAGGUUACCCUAAGCUUUUAAGCUUAGCUUAAAGUUUUACAUUUCACCAGACAUUCCUCAUAUGCCACUAAUCUCACGGUUACACAAUUACAAGGCAGUGGCAAUUGUUUUUUGAUCUUUUUGGGUUCAUAUCAAGCUGUAUUUUAAACAAAUAAAGUUCAGAAAUAAAAGAAAUAUUAUAGUGUGAUUUGCAGUAUUUUAUUUAAUAAGAUCUAAAUUUAAUACUAUAUUUUGAAGUGUGUAUUUCAUAGUGUGUUUUUGAAAUUUUUAUAACAGUGAGUAUUAUUUUAAUAAACGGAAACACUAAAGACACUGUGCCGACAUUUUCCAGAGUUCUGGUGCUUUCUGUAUGUAGUCUUCAUGAUGAGAAAAACAGCAGGUGUUAGCUUCCACGGGAAAACUGUAAAUUUAUCAGGGUUUUAAGGCAGCCAAUCAGAAACGACUUGGCGAUUUGAAAUUUUGUGUACUCUAUAAAUGCCUCGAUGUUAAGGGUAAUGCAUUUGAUAUGGUAUUGUGUCCUUGUAGGUAGGAAGAGCUGUGUGGUGAUUGAUUGGUGAGCUAAUGCAGCUGCGUAAUCCGUGAGUGGCUGUAGGCAGUUGUGUCGCCUCAUCAGUCAUUUGAACGUUGUGUUGAUAGGUCAAGCCUUUUGAAGGCUCUCUUUCUUUCUCUCUCUUUAUUAGUGUAUAAAGGUGGACAAUUUCACAUCUGGGGGCUGGGGACACGUUUCAAUUAAUGAGUGUCAACUUUUGUUUCUUAUUUUUCUAACAUUUUUAACUGGAGUUUAGGCUCCAUACAUGCAGCACAGUCCAAGGUGGCCAGCCGGUCCACCGGGACACAGUUCCAUUGCUCAGUACCUAGGAGACCAAGGGUCACUCGGGAUAUUCUUUCGUGAAGGCACAGGACUGCGAGGAGCAAUCGGCAAGAGUGAGUGAGUAACGGACAUGUCGUUUUGACUUGAGAAGAACAAAUUCCAAAAUUUAUUUUAAACUCUUUUAUAUUAACUCAACCAUUAACAGUUUAACAAAAAUUAACAAUCUAUCUACGUACCUGCAACACCAGAUGGAAUUUUUUCAAGUAUUUUCUGUAUAUGCAAGGAACAAUCGUCAUGGGCAUAACUGUCAUUUGCCACAACACAUAUAUUCAUUUCCUUUAAUUUUUUACAAUUUUUAACAAGUUAAAUGUGGAGCUUUAGCUUAUACAUUAAGGUACCUCAGUUGGUGUAUUUUUAAAAUUUAUUUUUAAAUAUAAUUUUUCAAAUAAAAAAUGCAAGAUCUUUCUAGUUUUUUCUAACAAUUGCAAUAACAUAGCUUUAUUUUAAUUUUAAUUCUUUGGAAAUCCAUUAAUUUUUUUCAACAAAAUUUUUUAAAGGCAUAAAAUGUAGUUUUAGAUAAAGUUAUUUGUUUUGGAUGAAAUCUUAGAUUUAGCUUUAAGAAAAUUAUGAAAAUGUAUUUAUGAAGUGUUUGAAUGUGUGUGUUACGUUUAGAUGUGAUUGGUACAGUAAUUAGUGAACUAUAACUCUAUCAUUAUACUAGCCUUCAAACUUUCUUCCUUAGGUUAAAUAGUAAAAUCAUGUUUUUAAUUAAACAUGCAACUCUUUAUUCCCAGUAAUUAAAAGACAUUAGAGAUUUACGAAAUAGGUACAUCACUUAUGUAAAUGUCCAAGCAGUUAUUAUUAACUUUGUGGUAUAUUUAGAAAGGGUCAUUCUAAUACUAAUAAAUUAAUGACAAAUUAGUGUCAUACUUAGUUUACUUAUGAAAUGUAUUAUCGUGAAGCAAGAGUAAGAGAAAAUUUUAAGUUUCAAUGGUUAUAUGUAUAUAACUUUUAUCACAACAGCAAACUAAAGUAUUUAAAUAUGAAUUAGGUAACUAACUUAUUUAUUUGAUAACAAUUGCAUAAAAGUAUAUGUGAAAAGAUUUCAUUAUAAAAAUAAUGUAUGCAACAUUUGUUUGAUGGAAACAUUUAAAAUCUUCAUCAUCUCAAUCAUAUUUAUCUUAAGUUAUUCUUACUUAAACAUUAGUUUAUUUAUGUGUAUAUUGUUCCUGUCAACAAAUUACAGCUGACACUAUUGUGCAGCAAUUUUGCUGCCUGCUAAACUAUUGAUAAGAUAUUAAAUACCUGACAUUCAACAUAUAAAGUUAAGCUUUGGGUAUCUGAAAUGCAAUUUGUUACUAAACCACACUAAGGGUUCUUAAACUCAACUUAAAAUCUUAAUCGUUCACGGUGAAACUUUCUCCGAGAAGCGAAUACUGGUAAUUUGAAUUUAUUACACUUAGUUUACUUUUCUUCUCAUAUUCCAAAAGAACAAGGGACUUUUCAUGAUUCUGUAAUCAAUAUUCAACAAGAGGUGAACGUUAAUGAAUAAAAAGUUGUUUCUAUUUUAUUUUCAAGUAACUUCUCUAUCUUUCUGCCUCAUUUAAUGUAUCAGUAUUCAAACCACCCUAAAAUUUAUUUUAUAUGUUUUAUAGUACAUCAAGACAGCACAUUACGUAUCACACUAAGGUGCCAAUUAGACUAAAUGUACUUUAUUAUUUUGAUAAAUAAAUAUAAUUUAUGCCUAGAAAUAUAUAUUUUUAUUUUCAAGUUUUGUAAGUGAUUAUAUAUAUCUAACUCUAUCUCUAUAUCUCUCUCUCUAGCUCUCUCUAUAUCUAUAUCUCGCUCAAUUAUUGGUUUUAAUAUUGUUAAGCAAAAAUGACUGGGUAAAAAAAAAACUUGAGGAAAUUGUGAUUUAAUACAGUAUGUACAAAAAUUUCAGUUGGAAACAUUUCCUUACAAUGCACAGAAGCUACAUGUAAAGAUACUUCCAUCAUGCCUGGAUAUUUACGACAGGGGAGCCUUGUGCUUAAGCCCGUAAGUGCAAAGCAGAGCGGCUGGUGACGGGUCUCGCCCACGGAACAGCCUAAACACUCUGCUGGCGUGCAUCCCUCCACCACGGGACAGGAAAGCAGAUCGGAACCUGAAAUGCCACCAGCGCAAUUAACUGUAGUUCAGCACCAUGCUCUUCGAAAAAACUCUCCAUGCUCUCCUGGUUACGUAUAAGUCCAACACUUCAGGUUAUAAAUGAUCAAUACCUCGUAUAAAGUCUGCCUCAUGCUUAGAUUACAGGACAGAGAAAAUAGCACGCCCAGUUCCAGAUUGAUACUACCUGGCUUGUUCACACUGAUAUUCUUAUUUUUCCAACCAUAAAAUAGUGUCUUCAGACAGUAUUACUACAGUUGUAUACAUUCUAAAAGAAAACAAAAUGUAUAAACACCAAUCAUUAUUUUUUAACAGGAGAAACUAUUUGUAGCAAUUGGUUACUCUUAAUAACAAGGCAUCCCAUUAAUUACUUAUAUGGUCAAACACAGCCAAAUUUUUUAAAUUAUUAAAUUGUAAAGGUGCCUAAUUGUUUUUACAUUAAAAUGUAGCUUAUCGAAAGUCCUGACAACACCAGUGUUCACUGGAAAAAAAAGGGGAUGAGAGAAAAGGAACAGAACGGGAGAGAACGGGGAGAGAGGAGCGUGCUAGAUUCAUGAUCUUCGCACUUGCCACAUGUCUAUAAGGUUUCUCAGGAGUUAGUCAUCGUGUCCUUCAAUUGAUACAUCAACAGGUAUAGUAGAACUCCUUUUUUACACUAUUAAAGGGGGUAAGGGAAAUGUAUGAAAAAUCCUUUAUUUGCUCAAAGAACUGUAAUAUUAUAUGACUUAAACAUAUUGUACUCUGAUAUACACAAAAUAAUUCAUUAUGAGUGUCUGAAGCAAUAAUUAUACACUUAAGCCCAUAUUUACAUUCUGUAGUGUGUAUAGGUAAGCAUACAGUCUAUGCAUAUACUUCAUACUUAAAUUAGCAAUUCAUAAUAACAUUGCAUUUACUGGUUAAGAAUAUUACCAAAAAUAUCACAAAACAUAAGGAAAGUGAAUUAAAGCAAAAGUUAUAUUUUUCAAAGAAAACAAAUAUACACCAAGAUUUCUCAAAAAAAUAAUGAAUUCGAGGCCAUUGCACCCACAAACCAUUCCAUCAAAAGUAUUUUAAGUACCUCAUAUUUUGUGCGAGCACCCGCCGCCGCACUGCGUACCACGGUAAGCUCUAGCCGCCUUGAGACUUGACUCUAUGCUGUAGUUGCUGUGCUGUUAAUUAGUAAAUUCAACACAAUAUAUUUUAAUUUUUAUUAUGAUUUUAAAUUUUUUUGUGUGGAAAUUUUAUUUGCUCUACUAUAGUGUGAUUUUACUUUGUUAGUCUGGUGUACCCCUCUGAGUUAAACUUUGUCUCAGUGCUCUGAAGCCCCUUUCCCAUCGGCGUAUCGGAUAUUUUGCUGGCCUAAUCCCUGACUGGCAGACCGCUUACCAUUUCCCCCGCCUUCUGUCACGCCUCAAGCCUGUAAUAUUAUUUCCCUUCGUGACCCUAACUGCAUAGGCAAGGCUGUAGCUUGCAGGCGACCAGUUCGCAGAGACGAGCUGAGAUCCGCCUUUUUCAUCACGUCUUAGUAUUGUGUUCGCCCCUCUGUAGCCACGACGGGGCGUAGUUUCCCAUCAGCGUUGCAUUUUACCCCACCUCCCCCCCUUCUCAGUUCCAAGUAAGACCAAUGACCGGUCGUAACCCCCUGGGCACCGGUGACCGUUCUCUAGGUCUGCCGUGCAAAAACGAAGGCGCCAAAACUGAUCACAAGCGCUUCCUAGCGGCCAAGUCGCGAACUUCUCCGCUUGCCUACCCUCUAGGGCACCAGAGAGCAGCACCGCUCUCCCUUGAGUUAUAUGGACGCCCGGCGCGAGUCGAUUCUUUUCAACUCAGCCGCCUCCGACAGAGUUCUCUACGGUCGCCCAGUGUGGCCAACUUCAAGACUCCUGCUAGAGUUUUUUUUCUGCCCGCGUUCGGGCAAGUUCGGUAUUUUUCGGCGGACCAGACACCCCCCCCCUUCCACCUGUUAGAGCCGGUGGGCACUUUUUAAUUACGAGAUGCCGUUUACCGCGAACAGAUCAACUCGCGUCGCGGCUGCAGACAGACCUACAUCGAGUAUCGGCGAAUCGGCUAGAUUUCAUCCGACCGUUAACGAAUAUGUAGUCGCCUUGUAUAAGGGAUGCUAUCCCUCAAGUCCAUUUUAGUAGAUUAGUCUGUCUGCAUAGUUUAGUUAUUUGCCUUAGAAAUUUUUCUCUUUGAAAUUUAUUAUUAUGAAGAAAUCAUCCGCGUCCUGCCGCGCAAUUCGCGAGCUCCCGAGCCUGGCUGACUCCACGACUGCAGCGUGCUGGGCAUAUCCCCUGUUUUGACAGGGUUCGAUGACCGGGAGAGAUUGAUGCUCUCAUCUCGUGGCCUCCCCCCCUUCCCUGUUCCGUGGGAAGAAACAUUAGAAGAAACUUUUCUACCACCCGAAGUGAUCGUUUGAAGACCCCGGGUGGUAAUGUAAAUUCAACAUUUCCCCCUUACCGAGCUACAAACUAUUUUAAGCGGACGACCAACCCACCAGCGACCAGUGUUUUUCCCAAGGAAAAUGUAAAACAAAUAGAACUUAUUAUCAAUGUAAUCAUCGGAUCCAUCCACCUUUGGGUGUAAAACUCAUAAUGCAAAUGUUUAUAGUUCAAACUAAAAAUGUAAAUUAUUCUCAGUAAGCCGGGCCGGCCCCAAUUUCGUGUUCCUUUUGUUAAUCUUGGAAAAUUGUUAAAUCUUUUGUAUGUAUGUUAAAAUAAUUGAAACAUGAUAUUCUUCAGGGCAAAUAAAACAGGGAAACUAUAGAUCAAGU